GUUUGACCUCGGAUCAGGUAGGAAUACCCGCUGAACUUAAGCAUAUCAAUAAGGCGGGAGGAAGA
rnacentral:rRNA from 1 species